UGGGCGUGGCUACAUGUGGUUUAAAUUUUGAGAGCAAGCGUUAAUUGAAUUUGUUUGGUCCGCGGAAAAGUGCUGUUCUCUGCGUCGGUCGCUAUAGUCGGUGUUGAGUCGCGUUGGUUUGGCGCCAGGACCUUGCCAAACAAAUACGUUUUGUGCUUGCAGGAAACUGGAGCUUUAAGUGUUCGGUAGAACUACCGAACCGUAAGUCCAGUUUAUUUUUACUUUAUAGUUGUCAGACCCCCCCAGUUUAUUCAUUACCGGGGUCUUGUUGUGGUCACUGAGUUUACUGUGACUCUAGUGUUUGGUUUCUAGUGUUUUUUCCGGCCCUCCAAGCCCAACUUUCUUUUCAACUCUCUUUUCCAACAUGGCUUCUCUGCCAUGACUAUUUAGAUUUUUAUGCGUCGUCCGAUCUAAAGUGGCCAUCUGUAAGUAGCGUUGUGUAGCAGGUAUAGCUCUAGGCUGCCAGACAGAUAAAACUCCGAGGAGCUUUAUCCUGGUUGUUUUAUCUGCGGCGCCGGUCUAUUUCUAUCGUUAGCUCCCUCGCCGUCCGUUCGUCAUCAUUUGAAUUUAUUUCUAUGACGCUGAUCUACAGAGGGUAUGUGGUAUUUCGUUCUUCUCUAACCUGGUUGUCUCUCCUAUAGCGUGGCCGCCGCGUCACAUCAUUUUCUUACAUUUUCAUGAAGAUAUUUCACCGCCGUACGUCCGUCCGUUAGUCUGAGAUGGCCACCCUCGCUACGUCUGUUAGCUAAGUUAAGCGUCGGGUCAUCAUUUCCAUCUACAAAAGGUAUGUGUCACACUCUAACCUGGUUGAUUUCUUCCCUCAGCUGGCCUGUCGAGCCACAACGAUUUUAUUUUUGUCCUGAUAUCCUCGGUCAACUUUGCGCGUCCGUUUACAAAG